rnacentral:rRNA from 1 species
CCGCCUGGGGAGUACGGCCGCAAGGUUAAAACUCAAAUGAAUUGACGGGGGCCCGCACAAGCGGUGGAGCAUGUGGUUUAAUUCGAUGCAACGCGAAGAACCUUACCUGGUCUUGACAUCCACAGAAGAAUCCAGAGAUGGAUUUGUGCCUUCGGGAACUGUGAGACAGGUGCUGCAUGGCUGUCGUCAGCUCGUGUUGUGAAAUGUUGGGUUAAGUCCCGCAACGAGCGCAACCCUUAUCCUUUGUUGCCAGCGGUUAGG